rnacentral:rRNA from 1 species
GUGUCAGCCGCCGCGGUAAAACGUAGGAGGCGAGCGUUAUCCGGAUUCACUGGGCGUAAAGCGCGCGUAGGCUGUUGGGUAAGUCGGACGUGAAAGCCCCUGGCUCAACUGGGGGAGGCCGUUCGAUACUGCCCGGCUUGAGGGUGAGAGAGGGAAGUGGAAUUCCCGGUGUAGCGGUGGAAUGCGUAGAGAUCGGGAGGAACACCAGUGGCGAAAGCGGCUUCCUGGCUCACCCCUGACGCUGAGAGCGCGAAAGCGUGGGGAGCAAACGGGAUUAGAAACCCCUGUAGUCC